UACGGAGGGGGCGAGCGUUAUUCGGCAUCAUUGGGCGUAAAGGGCGCGUAGGCGGCCUAGCAAGUCAGGGGUGAAAUCCCUCGGCUCAACCGAGGAACUGCCUCUGAAACUGCUUGGCUAGAGACCGGGAGAGGGUAGUGGAAUUCCCAGUGUAGCGGUGAAAUGCGUAGAUAUUGGGAGGAACACCAGUGGCGAAGGCGGCUACCUGGACCGGUACUGACGCUGAGGCGCGAAAGUGUGGGGAGCAAACAGG
rnacentral:rRNA from 1 species